rnacentral:misc_RNA from 1 species
GAAAUGCGAUAAGUAAUGUGAAUUGCAGAAUUCAGUGAAUCAUCGAAUCUUUGAACGCACAUUGCGCUCGCCAGUAUUCUGGCGAGCAUGCCUGUUCGAGCGUCAUUUCAACCAUCAAGCUCUGCUUGCGUUGGGGAUCCGCGGCUGCCCGCGGUCCCUCAAAAACAGUGGCGGGCUCGCUAGUCACACCGAGCGUAGUAACUCUACAUCGCUAUGGUCGUGCGGCGGGUUCUUGCCGUAAAACCCCCAAUUUCUAAGGUUGACCUCGGAUCAGGUAGGAAUACCCGCUGAUCUUAAGC